CUUUCAGAAUCAGAACAAUGCAGUGCAAAGGACAAGCAGACGAUCUGUGCAUAGGCCUUCAAUAAGACCCCAGAGAGCCGCUGCAACUAAUGCUAGGAACUAUAUAUCAGCGGUAGCAAGUGCAUUGGGUGCACCUCAAGUUCAAUCUGCAAGAAGCUCAGUCGGCAUCCCAGAGGAGGAGACAGC